rnacentral:lncRNA from 1 species
CUAUGCAGAAUGUAAGCUACUGGGAAAGACUCAAGAGAUUAAAAUUAUAUUCCCUGGAGCGUAGGCGGGAAAGAUAUGCCAUAAUAUACAUCUGGAAGAUCCUGGAGGGAAGUGUCCUGAACUUUGGCAUCGAGAGUUACGCAAACGCCAGAACUGGGCGCCACUGCGUGGUGCCUAGGACUCCAAACUUGCCAUCAAGAUGUAGGACAAGAUUCUGUGAUAGCCUGGGCUUCCGAGGCCCACAGCUCUUCAAUAUCCUCCCGAUGAACCUGAGAGACCUGCAUGGGGUGGAUACAGAUGUCUUUAAAAUGGAGCUGGAUCUCUUCCUGUCAGGUGUCCCAGAUGAACCAACUUCACGGCAGGAGGGGCAGAUGAGGGCAGCUGCAUCGAACUCUCUCAUGCACCAAAUAGCAGUUGCUAAAAAGCCUCCAUGAAGUGAAACCAAGUAGCAACACCAAAUGGCGGUGCCCCAGCAUGGCCACAGCUCAUGAGCUGAAACAGAAUCAAUCAAUCAAUCAAUCAUAUACAUAUACAAACAUAUAUAUAUAUAUAUAUAUAUAUAUAUAUAUAUAUAUAUAUAUAUAUAUAUAUAUAUAUAUAUAUAUAUAUAUAUAUACAUAUACAAAUAUUAUAUAUAUAUAUAUAUAUAUAUAUAUAUAUAUACAUAUAUAUAUAUAUAUAUAUAUAUAUAUAUAUAUAUAUAUAUAUAUAUAUAUAUAUAUAUAUAUAUAUAUAUAUAUAUAUAUAUAUAUAUAUAUAUAUAUAUACAUAUACAAUAUAUAUAUAUAUAUAUAUAUAUAUAUACAUAUACAAACAUAUAUAUAUAUAUAUAUAUAUAUAUAUAUAUACAAACAUUAUAUAUAUAUAUAUAUAUAUAUAUAUAUAUAUAUAUAUAUAUAUAUAUAUAUAUAUAUAUAUAUAUAUAUAUAUAUAUAUAUAUAUAUAUACAAACAUUAUAUAUAUAUAUAUAUAUAUAUAUAUAAUGCUAUAUAUAUAUAUAUAUACAUAUACAUAUAUAUAUAUAUAUAUAUAUAUAUAUAUAUAUAUAUAUAUAUAUAUAUAUAUAUAUAUAUACAUAUACAAACAUUAUAUAUAUAUAUAUAUAUACAUAUAUAAAUAUAUAUAUAUAUAUAUAUAUAUAUAUAUAUAUACAAACAUUAUAUAUAUAUAUAUACAUAUACAAACAUUAUAUAUAUAUAUAUAUAUAUAUAUAUAUAAAAAAGUUGAGUUGUGGGGUAUCGCACGAGUGGGAUUAUAUAAGAAAAAAGGUUUGAAAAUGCAAUUUAAACGAUGUUUAUUUACUUAACCGGUUUCACUCUUUGGUAAAAGAUUGUCAAAAGUUACAUUUAAGGAAACAUUGAAUAAUAUGGGUUCAAAAAAGUUUUUUACAUAAUUGUCACAUUGAAUAUUAUGCAUUCAAAAAAGUUUUUUACAUAAUUGUCACAUUGGAUAUUAUGGGUUCAAAAAAAGUUUUUUACAUAAUUGUCACAUUGAAUAUUAUGCAUUCAAAAAAGUUUUUUACAUAAUUGUCACAUUGGAUAUUAUGAAUUCAAAAAUGUUUUUUUAUACAUAAUUGUCACAUUAUUUGGGAAAAUUUGGCAGAAAAGGAUAAAACAAAUAUAUUAUUGGGAAUUGGUUGCGUUAAUUAUUGGUUGUCGCAAAUUGUCACAUUACAUGUAUAUAUAUACAAUCUUUGGUAUAUAUAUACAGCGUUUUGACAGCAAAAAUUAAAAUGGAUUUUUUGUCCAUCUCAGAAUAUUUUAAGUAUGUUUUUACUGACCUGUUAGUAUUAGCAGAAAGGCUGAACUGAGAGAACAGAAGAAGUAGCCAAUGUGGUGUAUACUUCCCCUUUAUGCAUGAAUGAUUUUGGGGUUAUCAGGAGGUUAGUAUGCGGGUGUGAAUAGAUGUGUCCGUGCCUGCUGGUCAGACAGCGUCUGUUUGUCACACACAUAUAUAUACACACAAACACACACACACACAACAACACACACACACACACACAUAGUAUACAAACACACACCACAUACAGACAACACACACACACACAGAACACACACACCCACACACAACGCACCCACAUAUAUCACAUAUACACACAGCACACAAAUAUAACAUGUAUCUAUAUAUAACAUACACAGAUAUAUAACACACAUACACACACACACACACACAACACACGCACACAUACAUACAUAAUAUAAAUAUCACACAAAUACACCUAGCAUAUAUAUAUAUACACAUACAAUACACACAUACAGCAUGUAAGUAAUAUACAUACACAAUAUAUGCAUGCAAUAUACAUACGCAAUACAUACAUACAAUAUAUAUAUAUAUAGACAAUGCAUAUACAUAUAUACACAUAUACAUAUAAAUAGUGUUUACAUACACAUACAUAGAUGUACCACAUAUACACACAACACACAUACAUACAAUGCAUACACAUACACGUACGCAUACAUAUAAUAUAUAUAUAUACACACACACACAUAACAUACAUACACACACAAUGCAUACAUAUAUAUACACGCAAUGCAUAUACAUGUAUUCAUGCACAUAUAGCACACCUACAAUAUACAUAUAUACAGUGCACACAUACACACAAAUAUAUACACUUAAUUGUACACGUACAUAUACAAUACACAUACAUACAAUAUACAUAUAUACAAUGCGCAUGCAAAUAAUGUACAUGUUUAUACACACAUAAACAUGCAAAUAAAUAUACACACACACACAUACACACACACACAUAUAUAUACACAUAUAUAUAUAUAUAUAUACACACAUACAUACAUACAUACAUGCACAUACAUAUAUUUUUUCACACACAUACACACACACAUAUAUAUAUAAAAAAUUCACCCCCCCACACACACAAAUUACAAACCUAUAGCGUACACACUCAAAUAUAUCUCUACAUGCCGCACAUACACACAAACAAAGUACUAACAUAUACACACAUACCAUGCAUAUACACACACAACACACACACACAUAUAUAUAUAUAUAUAUAUAUAUAUAUAAAAAAAAAAAAAAAGAUACAUAUGUAAAUACAUACACACGUAUACAAUGCUCACACACACACACACACACACAUACACACACACCCGCACACAGUGCACACACACACACACAUAUAUACACACGUGCACACACACAAACACAUACAACGCGCGCACACACACAUAUACACACACACGCACACAGUGCACACACACACACACACACACACAUAUAUCACCUACAUAUAUAUAAUGCAUGCGUGUGCAUGCCACGUAUGUGUGCGGUCAAUGCCCGCUAGUGUGUCCUAUGCGUGCCGAUGCGCGCAUGUGCCCGCCCGCACGAUAUGCUGUGAGCGUGCGCGCGUCCCUGUGUGCUUGCUCUGGAUGUGCUUCCAGGGGGUAUGUUAGAGUAUGUUUAGUUGUGGUCUGUAUUUUUGAAUAAGAUUACUUUCCUUAUUUAUUCGUGUUUGGUCUGUGGUGUUGUCCGAGCAUUGGUAUAGUGGGAAGACUAAGAAUUUGGGGGACUUAUUGUGUGCACAAAGGUCUAAGUGUCCACUUAGUGGUAUCUGUCUUGUGGAGGGGUCCCUCAGUUGUUGUCGGUGAACUGUCAUUCUGUCUCUGAGGGUAAGGCUCGUUUGCCCUAUGUAGUCUUCGUGGCAUCCUUCACACCUUAUGACGUAGAGUAAAUUUUUUGAUGCGCACGUGAAGUUAUUUUUUAUGAUGAAUGUGUGUCCCGAGUGGAACUUGUACGACGAUCCCUCAAUGAGGUGGAUGCAGGUCUUACAGUUGGGGCGACCACAUUUUUUGAUGGUGGGCGGUGGGUUUGUGUUGUGUAAUUUUGCGUUGGUGAGGAGGUUUUUUAGGGAUUUAGGUUGUCUCUUACUUUUUAUUAUUUUAUGAGUUGCCAGUAUUUUUUUCAGGCGUGGGUCUUGAUUUAGUUGUGGAAUGUUGUUGUAUAUAAUAGUGUAAGCUUCUGCAUUCCUUGGGUUGUGUGUUGAGAGAUAAGGGAGGCUAUUGACUGUACUGUGGAUGUGUUUGGGUUUUCGAAGGUCUUGAAUGUUGAUUGAUUUGGCCCGUUCUAUUCCGUUGUCUACUAGUGAUGCCGGGUAAUGUCUUUCGAGAAGAAUUGCCCUUAGUUCCCGGAGUCUUCUAUUUCGUGUUGUGUCAUUUGAGACAAUAGUGCAGAUUCUUCUCGCUAGGUUGAAGGGGAUAUUUGUCUUUGUGUGUUUUGGGUGAUUGGAGGUGAAUAGAAGGUAUUGUUUAGAGUCAGUGGGUUUGUAAUGGAUGUCAGUUUCAAUGUUGACGCCUUUUUUAAUGAUUAGGAUGUCAAGAAAAGGGAGUUGGUCCUGACUAUAUUCCAUUGUGAAUUGAAUGUUGUUAUUUACACUGUUGAUAAGGUUUUUGAAGUCUAUAAGUUGGUCGAGUGUGUGGGACCAUAGGAUGAGGCAAUCAUCUAAGUAGCGUUUCCAGUUCUCCAACAGGUAUUUGUGGAAAGACUGGCCGUACUUAUAUUUGGAUUUUUCAUAGAUAUGUGAUUCCAGGUAGGCCAUCACCAGGUUUGCAUAGGUAGGUGCAACUUUCGUACCCAUUGCAGUCCCUGAGACCUGUCUGUAAGUGUUGUUGUGGAAAUACAUGAAGUUGUUUUGCAGAAUAAAUUUGAGGCCCUCAAUUAUGAAUUCUUUUUUAAUUCUUUCCGGGAUCUCAUUGGGAUAUUUAUCCAGCCAGAAUUUAAUGGCUUCCAGUCCAAAUUCAUGUGGGAUUGUGGUGUAAAGAUUAAUAACAUCAAAAGAAACGAUUAAGGUGUCUUUAUCGGCAUGUUUGGGGAGAUGGUUUAAUAGGUCCAGGUCAUCUCUUACAAUACUUGGAAUGUGUUUCAGUAUUGGCUUUAAGAUGAUAUCUAUAAAGUUGCUAAGUCUGUGUGUUUCACAACUUGGGCCUGCCACUAUUGGUCUCAGUUUGAGAUCAGUGGGAUGUGGUAUAGUGAUGCAGGUUGAAGUGGAC